GAUCCUGGCUCAGGAUGAACGCUGGCGGCGUGCUUAACACAUGCAAGUCGAGCGAAGCACUUAAGUUCGAUUCUUCGGAUGAAGACUUUUGUGACUGAGCGGCGGACGGGUGAGUAACGCGUGGGUAACCUGCCUCAUACAGGGGGGAUAACAGUUAGAAAUGGCUGCUAAUACCGCAUAAGACCACAGUACUGCAUGGUACAGUGGUAAAAACUCCGGUGGUAUGAGAUGGACCCGCGU
rnacentral:rRNA from 1 species